rnacentral:rRNA from 1 species
AUUGAACGCUGGCGGCAGGCCUAACACAUGCAAGUCGAACGAGUGGCGGACGGGUGAGUAAUGUCUGGGAAACUGCCUGUUGGAGGGGGAGAACUACUGGAAACGGUAGUUAAUACCGCAUACCAUCAGAUCUGCCCAGAUUGGAUUAGCUAGUAGGUGGGGUAACGGCUAACCUAGGCGACGAUCCCUAGCUGGUCUGAGAGGAUGACCAGCCACACUGGAACUGAGACACGGUCCAGACUCCUACGGGAGGCAGCAGGGGGGAAUAUUGCACAAUGGGCGCAAGCCUGAUGCAGCCAUGCCGCGUGUAUGAAGAAGGCCUUCGGGUUGUAAAGUACUUUAAGUGGGGAGGCGUUACCAGCAGAAGAAGCACCGGCUAACUCCGUGCCAGCAGCCGCGGUAAUUC